CAGGGUAAGCAGGUGGUAAAUUCCAUCUAAAGCUAAAUAUUGGUGCGAGACCGAUAGCAUACAAGUACCGUGAGGGAAAGAUGAAAAGAACUCUGAAAAGAGAGUUAAAGAGAAUCUGAAACUGCUGAAAGGUAACCGGAUCGUUCCCAGUGUCUAGAAUCCGCGGCAUAUUCCACUGGCGAGUGUGUAUUUGUAUAUACUGUGGUAGCUGCUGUCUAGUAGUGCCUGGUGUGUAUAUAAUGCAUGUUUGUUAUUGCUUUGUGCUGCGGUGGGACGUCAAUGUCAGUUCAUGUGCUGCGGGAAAUGGCUGCCAAGGAGGUAGGACUUACGCUUGCGUUUGCCUAUUAUAUCUUGGUGGACGAGUCAUCGCGGCUGGAGCGAGUCUACGC
rnacentral:rRNA from 1 species